UGCACUUAUACUGGUGUGUGCGAUUAUUGUAUAAACAACAUUGAAGUCGGUGGUAAUACUGAUAUUAUUCAGUUCAAGAAAGAUACACCUGUAAAAUGAAUAAAAUUUGCCUGUGCUUUGUGUUUAUAUAUCUAGUUAUAACUUCCACAAGUGGUUUUGAUAGGAUGGCUGCUGUAUCAGUCAAGGAUAUCAGGGAACACGCUGCCAAGGACCCACCGGGAAGGUUAUUACUCGCCAUGUUAGAUAUCCAUUGCGGAGCAGAAAAGGGUUCUAUAAAGGCGAGCAGAAUAGGAGAAGAAAAGAAGAAAGCAAAACGUUUAUGUUUCGACUAAAUGUUUGAUCUUUGGAACUUAUGCUGUUUUCUAUAUCGAUUGACAUGAAAAUACAUGUGCACACGUUCUGUGAACUUAUCCGUGAGAACACUUGUAUCAGUCAAUAAUAUGUGUACAUUUUAUCCGAAUGAUCUCUUUCAAAUAAAAAAUAUAUUAUAUUUUCAUUUACACAUGUUGUUGUUGUUGUUGUUGUUGUUGCCGUUGUUGUAAAUGGUUGGACUUAUUCAUUUUAUCCUUCUCAUUUUUAACUGAUCUCUAUUAAUAAUAUUAAAUCAGUGUUUCAUUUAAACAUUA